rnacentral:rRNA from 1 species
CAUUAUUGAAUUAAAACUCUGGCAAAGAGGCUGUUGCUGGCCCUAGGGCAUGUGCACGUCUCUGUUAUUGCCAGUUUUUGUUCACAUUUUCCUGUGCAUUUUUGUAGGCACCUUGGAUUUGAGGGACUUUCAUUAGUUUCUUGCUUAAAUGUCUAGGUGUCUAUGGCUUUUUGUACAAACACUAUGGAUAUAUAUUAUAUAGAAUGAUUAUUGUUAAUAUAGGCUUUUGUUCUUCAUAAGCCUUUGAACAAAGUUGAAUACAACUUUCAACAAUGGAUCUCUUGGCUCUUGCAUCGAUGAAGAACGCAGCGAAAUGUGAUAAGUAAUGUGAAUUGCAGAAUUCAGUGAAUCAUCGAAUAUUUGAACGCAUCUUGCACUCCUUGGUAUUCUGAGGAGUAUGCCUGUUUGAGUGUCAUUCAUAUUCUCAAAAUUCUCUCAGAUUUUUGGGGGGGGAGGUAUUUUGGAUAUUGGGAGUUUUGCAGGACUUGUAAAGUUCAGCUCUCCUUAAAUGAAUUAGUAUGGGGAAGAGUAUGGUGUUCCUCUCUGUUGGUGUGAUAGAAUUGUUUACACCAGGAAAAGAUGCCUUUUGGUCCUCUGCUUUCUUUAUUAUUGUCUUUGAGACAAAUGAUUGACUGACUUGACCUCAAAUCAGGUAGGAC